rnacentral:rRNA from 1 species
AGCGAACGCUGGCGGCAUGCUUAACACAUGCAAGUCGCGCGGGUGGUUUCGGCCAUCCGCGGCGGACGGGUGAGUAUCGCGUAGGAAUGUAUCCCGAGGUGGGGGACAACCCUGGGAAACUGGUGCUAAUACCGCAUGGGGCCUGUGGGUCAAAGCCUUAGGGCGCCUUGGGAGCAGCCUGCGUCCGAUUAGGUAGGGGGUGGGGUAAUGGCCUGCCAAGCCUGCGAUCGGUAGCUGGUCUGAGAGGACGAUCAGCCACACUGGGACUGAGACACGGCCCAGACUCGUACGGGAGGCAGCAGUGGGGAAUAUUGGACAAUGGGCGCAAGCCUGAUCCAGCAAUGCCGCGUGGGUGAAGAAGGUCUUCGGAUUGUAAAGCCCUUUCGGCGGGGACGAUGAUGACGGUACCCGCAGAAGAAGCCCCGGCUAACUUCGUG